UCCUACGGGGGGCAGCAGUGGGGAAUAUUGCACAAUGGGGGAAACCCUGAUGCAGCGACGCCGCGUGAGUGAAGAAGUAUCUCGGUACGUAAAGCUCUAUCAGCAGGGAAGAAAAAAAAUCUUUGGCUUUGGACGGUACCUGACUAAGAAGCCCCGGCUAACUACGUGCCAGCAGCCGCGGUAAUACGUAGGGGGCAAGCGUUAUCCGGAUUUACUGGGUGUAAAGGGAGCGUAGACGGCAGCGCAAGUCUGGAGUGAAAUGCCGGGGCUCAACCCCGGAACUGCUUUGGACACUGUGCAGCUAG
rnacentral:rRNA from 1 species